ensembl:misc_RNA Metazoa_SRP Metazoan signal recognition particle RNA
GCCAGGCACAAUGGCUCAUGCCUGUAAUCCCAGCAUUUUGGGAGGCUGAGAUGGGUGGAUCACUUGAGGUCAGGAGUUCAAAACCAGCCUGGCCAACAUAGUGAAACCCCAUCUCUU